CAGCGGCAGCAUAAAACUGCGGCUUGCGCUACCCAGGGGAACGAACGUCCUCGUAGUUCCAACGGGCGCAGUCGUACGAGACGCCGUGCACCUUCUCCGGGCUGCUCGGCCUUCAACUGAAGAGGAAGCUGCCUGCAGGACUGAGAGUCCUUCUGGGCUUGCUCCUGAGCGAAAUGCAACCUUCUAGGGCAUGACCAGCUUGCAUCAGUUUUGUUUAAGAAGCUCGGUAGGAAGAGGAUGGGAAGGGCUGCAGGAGAUGACUUGUGCCAGACCAGUCUCUGCUAGUGUUCUUCAGAGCAGCGUCCUCUCUUCAAGGAUUUUACUGAAGAAACAGCAGAUCAAGAUUGAGAUAUGGUAAAUCAAGGUGUUGAUCAAAGUGCUGAAUGGCAGAGCUGAGCUGGUCCGCGAGCAGCGCUUUUCCUCACGAAGACGUGGAGGGCACCAGAAUGCAGCGCAGGCACCUUGUGCCUGAAUGACAGGCACAAGUCCCCAGCCUGAGCCACGUGACCCAACGGCAGGAUGAGAUGUGCUACUCGUCUGUCUUUGUCUUUGGGCUCAGAGACCGUAAGAUACUGUCCCCCUGCAACACAAAAAGGUGGUGUUAGUUUUUUAACUGUACUACAUUUCAGGAACAAACGCGCAACAGUUAUUUAAAAAAGAAAGGGAGGUCUCCAAGGUCCAGUGAAUCUUAAAUACAGUCUAUAGUUGCUGGGAACCGUGAUCCAGAACUGAUGCAUCUCCCUCUCCAAGCUGAGCAGGAUUUACAGUGUUGAGUCUUCUGGUUUUUAUGCUGGUACCAGUGCCGGUCUGCAAGCAGGGCACAGUUACCUGUUCUCUGAGCUGCAGGAGGAAGGAGCUCUGCUAUGCAAGUCACUUUAGUGUCUUCACAAGCAUAUGAAACACUGCAGCACGUGGGGAGGGGCCUGCCCCGAAAGUGAGAACGGCACUUCCCUUACGCAGCUGAACAGCCCGGAGAAGGCACAGGGGUCACCUGCCGCAGCAGCACACGAGUGUCUCAUCAGUGGCAGCGUAAGCACAGACACCUACGACAAGGGGGUUUGUAAGGAAAACGGCGCUGGGUGCCUUAACUGCCUCAGCUUAGCCCACGCGGCCUGAGCGGGGGGGGGUCUCCUCCCGAGUCGGCGCCCGCUCACACAGUGCCGCCCUGCGCGCUCCAGAGGCUGCUGGCUACGGAGCAGCCCCUUGGCACGGGGGCCAGAGCGCGCGUGCCUAAUCCCCAGCGCUGCGGGGGGGAAGGGCAAAAUCGGCUGGGGACAAAACACAACCAACUUCUGGCUUUGCCCAUUUGCAGUUCUGCGGGGGCUGCGCAGGGAGGAGGCCCCUGCUGUGCAGUGCAGAUGCAAGCACUCCUCCCACCCCGCAAGCGCUGGUGCGCAGGCCGCUGUCACAUUCACGUCAAGGUCACUUUUACCAUUCCAGACAUACGCCGGCAACGUUUUCAGAAGGCGCUGCGUAUUAGCAACCUACCUUUACUUAACAGUUUUUGUUAUACACAGUUGCUGUAGCUUAUAGCAGAAUUUUACAAAAUCAAACUGAGACACAAACCAGAAAAAGAACAUUGCAUUUGGCAGCAGAACAAAAAUAUUUCCAACUCUGUCUAUAAUUUUACUAGUAAUACGGAAAUAAUUACGUUUGCAUGAUGUCUUGAAAAAUAAGCUUUGUUUCUGCAUAAAUAAAAGUUGUUCUCUAGUCCCCAUUAUCAUUUUGAUUCUUUUAAGUUCAAAUUCUCAACUGAUCUUUACUGCUGUGAAUGCUCAGUUUUGAUUCUUUCUGCACAGAAGAGGUGUAGGUGUGAAAUGUUUCACACAAUUAAAGGGAACAGAGUCUGUGUAAACUUAUUACAACAGGAGAACUGUCAUCAGCCUCUGCAGGACCAAGUCUGGGUGGUUCCUCAGCCACACGAUGCAACUGUACACAUGCAUCUUACCUGAUGGAUCUUGAACUGGUUCCCAGUGCAAAUCAUCAUCUUUGUCCUUGAUCCAGCCACACAGCCCGCUAUCAAAAUUACAGCUGUGUAUCAGCACACCUAGGCAGAACAGAGCAAAAGUUUUUAAAAAAGUGAUUCUGACCCUUUGGUUGGGGAACUACAGCAACUUCCCCUGUGGCUGACACUGGCAAACAAAUACGUUUAUGAAAAUAAAAUGCAGCGAAAGGAACUCUAGAAAAAAGACUCUACAAAAAUACUGAAACAAUAAAAAGGAUGCUAUUAUUAUUA